rnacentral:misc_RNA from 1 species
GAUGAAGAACGCAGCGAAAUGCGAUACUUGGUGUGAAUUGCAGAAUCCCGUGAACCAUCGAGUCUUUGAACGCAAGUUGCGCCCGAAGCCAUUAGGCCGAGGGCACGCCUGCCUGGGCGUCACACGUCGUUGCCCCCCCAUCUACUCCUUCGGGAUUGCGGGGGGCGGAUGAUGGCCUCCCGUGCGCCUCGUCGCGCGGUUGGCAUAAAUACCAAGUCCUCGGCGACGCACGCCACGACAAUCGGUGGUUGCUAAACCUCGGUUGCCCGUCGUGUGCGGUCGUCGCGCAUCGAGGGCUCGAAAAAAUUGCCGGGCUCCGGCUCGGCUUUCAACGCGACCCCAGGUCAGGCGGGGUUACCCGCUGAAUUUAAGCAUAUCAAUAAGCGGAGGA